rnacentral:lncRNA from 1 species
AAAAGUUUUUCCAUCAGAGUCAUGUUUCUUAGAUUGAACACAAAACUCUGUUCGUUUAUAGAUAAGAAAAAAGUUGUAAAACAUUUUCAUUAAUUAUUAUCCAUAAAAUUUAUAAUCUUUAUUUUAAUUUAGUAAAGCAAAAAGAUCAAAAAGGAAGACUAAGAAAAUAAGAAUCUUCGGUUGCGAUGAAUUGUUAUUUAAUUAUAGUUCAAAUGUUUUACAAAUUAGGCUUAUUUAUUACUAUAAAAUAUAUGGUAGUGGUUAUUAACCAAAAAAAAAUAACUUAUAGGUUUUCAUGCCUCGUUAUAAAAUAUAUAUAUAUAUUUACAUGUUUCUACUUAUGAUCGGUUUUGUUCGGUUUAUUCGGUUUAAUUGGUUAUAAACCAAUCCAUAUCUAUAUCCUACGGUUUUUAUAAAAUCACAUCCAUUCGGUUUGUAUGGUAUAUACCAAAACCAAACCAUAUUAUCUAUUUUCGUUCGGUUCGGUUCGGUACGGUUUGGUUUUACCAUAUUGAACAUUUGUGUAACAAGGACAAGGCUUCAAGAUGUUUACAUGUAAUUUUUUCGUGAGGUUAUAAGAGAGCCGAUGGGACUCAGAACGGUGCCGUUUUGCUCUAUGUUAUUGAUAAACGAAACCGAAUUGGUACGAUCUAAGCCAAACCGAGCAAGACAUUUGAAAUUUCGGAUCGUAAUUUUUGAUUGGUUUAAUUGGGUUGUUGAGUCUUGGCCUUUUAUAAUCGGACCAAAGUGAAUUUCUCUGAUGGGUAUAGAGGAAGAGAUGGUUGAGAUGUUGCAAAUAGGUUUGGCUUGUGGUGACUUGAAGCCACAAGAUCGACAUAAUUCAGAAGAUGUUUUGUAAAGAUGGUACAAGACAUAAUGAGAAACAACAUAAAUAAACUUUCAAUUCUUAAUCAAAAGCAUUGAUCUGAACGAUAAUAUUGACAAAAGAGAAUAUCGGAUUGGAAGAUGAUGAUCAGGAGAAUAUGGUAGUGGUUAUUAACCAAAAAAAAAUAACUUAUAGGUUUUCAUGCCUCGUUAUAAAAUAUAUAUAUAUUUACAUGUUUCUACUUAUGAUCGGUUUUGUUCGGUUUAUUCGGUUUAAUUGGUUAUAAACCAAACCAUAUCUAUAUCCUACGGUUUUUUUAUAAAAUCACAUUCAUUCGGUUUGUAUGGUAUAUACCAAAACCAAACCAU